UACGUAGGGUGCGAGCGUUGCCCGGAUUUAUUGGGCGUAAAGGGCGCGCAGGCGGCUACGCACGUCCGUUGUGAAAUCGCCCGGCUCAACUGGGCGGGGUCAGCGGAUACGGCGUAGCUGGAGCAAGCUAGGGGGCAAUGGAAUUCCCGGUGUAGUGGUGGAAUGCGUAGAUAUCGGGAGGAACACCAGUGGCGAAGGCGGUUGCCUGGAGCUUUGCUGACGCUGAGACGCGAAAGCGUGGGGAGCGAACAGG
rnacentral:rRNA from 1 species